UGGUAAAAAGAGGACUCAAACCUCUGUCUUUAGAUUUACAGUCUAAUGCUCACUCAGCCAUUUUACC
rnacentral:tRNA from 1 species